AUGAGGGGGUGGAGGCUGGGAUGGCCCUUGGCAGCCCCUCCCUCCGGUGCCGAAUCUGGCCUGUUCACCCGGCUAGCUUCUUCCUUCACCUCCUGCUUUCUCCAUUUCCAAACCAUUUCAGGGGAAGGGAGUUUGAUUCAUCAGAGUCCACACCGCGGUGACCGCUACCAUCAUCUGGGGGGCUGGGGAGACAAGUGUGCACAGCGCCACCUAGGCCCAGAUGCAGGAAGCACAACUCCUGCAAGACUUGAGGACUGUUCUGUUUCAGAGAACCUGAUGGAGCAGGUUCCCACAGUGCCUUGCCACUCGGUCUCAGAAAGGCCAGCGCCUCCUGGAGGACAUGUGUGCCAAUUUGCCUGCUGCCUUGCACCUUCUACAGCAGCUGAGACCUGGCAGAUCUUCAAAAUGCUGCUCGAACAAUGGCCAAUGGGAAGCUAG
rnacentral:lncRNA from 1 species